UGGUUCUGGCAUNGAUGAAGAACGCAGCGAAAUGCGAUACGUAAUGUGAAUUGCAGAAUUCAGUGAAUCAUCGAAUCUUUGAACGCACAUUGCGCCCUUUGGUAUUCCGAAGGGCAUGCCUGUUCGAGCGUCAUUAUCAACCAUCAAGCUCUGCUUGGCAUUGAUUGUCACCCCCCUCCCCGGGGGGCGCGAUCUAAACUGGUCGGCUGUGGUCUGUGAACCGUUGGCGUUAGUAAAAACUUCCCGCUACUCGGUAACAGGUCGCAAGCCUCCAAAACCCAACACCUCAAGGUUGACCUCGGAUCAGGUAGGGAUACCCGCUGA
rnacentral:misc_RNA from 1 species